UGCCAGCAGCCGCGGUAAUACAUAGGGGUCAAGCGUUGUCCGGAUUUAUUGGGCGUAAAGAGCUCGUAGGUGGUUGAAAAAGUUGAUGGUGAAAUCCCAAGGCUUAACCUUGGAACUGCCAUCAAAACUUUUUAGCUAGAGUGUGAUAGAGGAAAGUGGAAUUUCUAGUGUAGAGGUGAAAUUCGUAGAUAUUAGAAAGAACACCAAAUGCGAAGGCAACUUUCUGGGUCACUACUGACACUGAGGAGCGAAAGCAUGGGUAGCGAAGAGGAUUAGAUA
rnacentral:rRNA from 1 species